ACAACAUCAUUUCAAAGGCAAAAGCAACAGGUACCAUCUCCACAGAAUUGGCAAAGGCAUUGAUGGAAGAUCAUCCCAGAAUACCUACUUUAUAUUUACUUCCUAAGUUACAUAAAAAUCAGACAAAACCUCCCGGACGUCCCAUCAUUUCUGAAAAUGACAUAUCUUUGUUUCGGGACAACUUGGGAUACAUACAGACGGACAUGUACAGGAAGCCUACUUCAACGAAUAUAUACCUGCAUGCUACUUCGUCACACCCCCAACAUAUUAUCAAUGCGAUCCCUACAGGACAAUACCUUCGAGCUAGGAGAAUCUGCUCAUCCGAAGUCUGAUUCAAGAACCAAGCAGAUGACCUUUGUCGCAGAUUUACAGAAAGGGGUUACAGUCAAUGGAACCUGAAGAGGGCCUAUAAAAGGGCCAUUGGAACAUCACGAAGGGAUCUUCUACAACCUAAGGUACCAGAACAUAUAAGAUCCGAAACUCCAUCAAUUGUAACACAAAAGCCAUCAUCUACUAUGCCACAUGUCCCUGCCACAAAAUCUACGUGGGAUAAACCACAAGAGCCUUAAAGGUACGAGUCAGAGAACACGUGCGGGAUAUCAAAUUAGCAGCAACAUCAGAUGACAUAGAAAGCCUUAAGUCUGUACCACGCCAUUUUUGAAAAUGUCAUAACAGUGACUCCACCCUCCUAAAAAUUAGAGGGAUUGAUCGUGUUGAUCUUGGAUUAAGAGGGGGCAAUAUAGGUUAAAUAUUGUCACAAAAAGAGAGCCAGUGGAUUUGGAUGCUGGAAACCCUUUCCCCCCCAAGGGUUGAAUGACAUAUUGCCUUUUGCCCCGAUCCCUUAUAUGCACUUUUUAGCAUGAUUUUGCACAAUUGAUUUGUUGUUUUUUUUGCACUAAU